rnacentral:rRNA from 1 species
UGGGGAAUAUUGGACAAUGGACCGAGAGUCUGAUCCAGCAAUUCUGUGUGCACGAUGAAGUUUUUCGGAAUGUAAAGUGCUUUCAGUUGGGAAGAAAGAAAUGACGGUACCAACAGAAGAAGUGACGGCUAAAUACGUGCCAGCAGCCGCGGUAAUACGUAUGUCACGAGCAUUAUCCGGAUUUAUUGGGCGUAAAGCGCGUCUAGGUGGUUAUGUAAGUCUGAUGUGAAAAUGCAGGGCUCAACUCUGUAUUGCGUUGGAAACUGUAUAACUAGAGUACUGGAGAGGUAAGCGGAACUACAAGUGUAGAGGUGAAAUUCGUAGAUAUUUGUAGGAAUGCCGAUGGGGAAGCCAGCUUACUGGACAGAUACUGACGCUAAAGCGCGAAAGCGUGGGUAGCAAACAGG